GACGAACGCUGGCGGCGUGCUUAACACAUGCAAGUCGAACGGAAAGGCCCUGCUUUUGUGGGGUGCUCGAGUGGCGAACGGGUGAGUAACACGUGAGUAACCUGCCCUUGACUUUGGGAUAACUUCAGGAAACUGGGGCUAAUACCGGAUAGGAGCUCCUGCUGCAUGGUGGGGGUUGGAAAGUUUCGGCGGUUGGGGAUGGACUCGCGGCUUAUCAGCUUGUUGGUGGGGUAGUGGCUUACCAAGGCUUUGACGGGUAGCCGGCCUGAGAGGGUGACCGGCCAAAUGGGGAUGGGGAAACGGCCCAAGCCCCGACGGGGGGAAGGGGGGGGAAAAUUUGCAAAAGGGGGGGAAGCCGGAGGCAGAAACGCCGGGGGGGGGAGGACGGCCUUGGGGUUGAAAACCGGUUUCGCCUGGGACGAAGGGGAGGGGAGGGAAAUGGGAAAAAAAGCACCGGCAAACUAGGG
rnacentral:rRNA from 1 species